AUCUUUUUGAGUCUGGCCACAUGUUAGGUCUGGAAUCUCAAAAGAUACUUGGGGCAUAAUUAGAAGAAGGGAGGCUUUGGAUGUGGGGAAAGGAGGAACAGAGUGUCUCAAGGAAAGAGGCCAGGGUGCUGGAGCCUGCUUGCCUCAGUGUCAGGCACUGGACCACCUCUAGGCAGUUCUCGAGUCAGUGGCGUGGUGUUCCUCAUUUCACAGAGGAAGACAUCAGUCGUUUCUGAGACCCACGUGGCAGCCAUGUGGGUCAGAGCCAGGAGGCUGGAGUUUUCAUUUUUCAUCCUCUAACAAUGUCUGUAUUUUAUCCUCCAUCCACUGAAUCCAGAGGCUUAUCUGUGCCAUCCCCUCUCCCUCACCGAGUCCUGUCUCACGUGUCCUCUGGAAGUCUUCCAAAGACACCAUCUUCUCUCCAGCCCCACUGUCAUCACCAACCACCCAAGUCCAAGUUGCCAUCGUUCCUCAAGUUCACACGAUGAUGUCCUCUAUCCCUUCUCUGUCUUGUAGCCUCGACCUUACAGUCCAUGGGAGCUUGAGGUGGUCCAAGUCCAGUCACGGCACUGACUCCUUCAAGGGCUUCCAGGGAAAGAAAAUCUCCAGCAAACACAGAAGUAGAGAGAACAGUACAAUGAACCCCCAUGUACCCAACCAUCCACUUUAAAAGAUGACCGACUCAAGGACGGUUUUCUUUGACUUUGAUCAAGACACGUGUGCUAAAGGCUGAAUUUGGACUCAGCUCAGAGGUCACACAGUGAGUUUAUUGGAGACACAACAAAACCCAUCUUGAUAUGUAGGGAUGGGGAGAAGCACGGGGUGCCCUAGAGGAGUGGCAGGGACCACCCCCGGGGUUGAAGGAGGGGGUCGGGGAGGGCCCCCCCGAACCAGGACCCAGCAGGACAAGAGUCAGCCAAGCAGAGGCGGCAAGACCUGCAGGGAAGAGCAUGUUUCAUAGGAAGAGACACUGGUCAGACGUAAUACCUCCCUUCGAGUCAACCCUGCCCUCCCUCCCUGGGGCUUUUGCUCGGCUCUUGCCUCUUCUGUCUUGAGCAGUUUUCUCUUUGUCCAGCUGACUCCUUCCUCUCUCCCCACAAGCAUCUCAAGUCUCUCCCCUCGUAACCAGCCUGCCUUUUAUCUCUCAUCCUCCGCAGCCUAGGACACUGGCACUUCAGGAUACUCAGCAUCUCCUCACAUGACGCCACCACCUGCCCAGUUGCUCACACUGGAAAUUCACACGGCCCCUUCGUUCUGCCCUAUUCCCUCACUUCCCACCUCCGAUCUACCAGGGAGUCCUGUCAGUGGGUUCCCCCAAAUGAUCAAGAAUCCAACGACUUCUCCCCACCCUCAGCCCCCACCCUAACAGUGUGAAAUUCCCAGGUUCCUCCUCUCGCUGUUCCUGCCUCAGUUCCCCACACAGCUAGCAGGAUCCUUUUAAAGAUACCUACCAACACUGGGCUUCCCAUGCUUAACCAUCCAGUGGCUUCCUGUAGUAUUUAGAGAAAAAUCCAGAGUCUUCACCCUCUGGCUCUCCACUGCCUUGGGUAAGUGACAGCCCCUCUGGGCCCCCAAAUCUUUCAGCUAUAAAAUGUGGACACUAAUUACACCAGCCCCACCAGAUCACUGUAAGGGUUCAGUGUGCCAGGUUACAGGCAGCACCUCCAAUGUCAGCUCUUUUUACUCUUCUUUCCCUCCUUCUUUCCUGACUUCUCCCCCAGCCCCUCUUCCCACGUUCCCUGUUUUUGUUAACGCAUCACUGAGACCAUCCUCCUUUUUAAUACACUGGAGUCCUUCUGGUCCUUCUUUCCCUACAUCAUCCUGCCUUCCUCCUUUUCAUCUGUCACAUCCUUGUGCUGUGAAUUCUUUCUCCACAAAGUUGCUGACUGUGGUCCCAGGCCACACUGCAGGCAGAGCUGGUAUGGGUCAGAGUUGAGCUACUUCCCAACCAACCUCCCCAACCCUGAAAAUAGCAGGAAGAUUUCCACCACCAUCCCUUUUUCAAAAAUCUUGAGGCCCCCUCCCGGCCCUCGAGAACUUAUUCUCCAAGAACAAAGGCCCGCCCUUAGCCUGGCCUCCUGCUCAGCCUUAACACUGUCUCCCAUAGCAGGUUCCAGGCACAGUGCUCCCACCGUGGUUAUGCAGAUUCUCCACUCUGUGCCAUCCUCCCCCCAACCCCACCCCGGAAGGCCCAGUGCACCCCUCUGUCUGUAGCCUGCCCUGGCCUGGGCCACCCCACUUUGGACCCUGAACUACCACCGGUGCUCCAUUUCUGUCGCUGGCGUCACAUGCCCCCUACCACCUGGUGCAGUGAAUGUCAAGACUGCAUUCACAAUGUCAGCUCUUCCUAAGGACAGGAGCCGCAUCUCGUUUUAUCACUCAUCUCCCCAAGCAGAAGAUUUAGUGUCCUGAGCUUAUGAUCUAAGUUACAUCUACUGUGACCUGCCAGGGGUGAUGCAACAACCCCACGAAACAGGUCCUCUUAUUAUCCCCGCUGUAGAGAUAAGGAAGUUGAGGCUUAGAGAGUCUCAGAACUUGCCCAUGGGCAUCACUGGUUGAUGCCUGCGAAGCGGGGCUGCAGCCCAAGGUGAGUCUGACUCUGGAGCUUCCUGCAAAUGAUAACAGCCGAUGGGUGCCAGGCCCCGUGCUAGACAUCAUGAUGUUACCCAUUGUUAUCCUCAAAAGACCCCCUAGGGUGGGGAUUAUGAUCCUCAUCCUACACUGGAGAUAGCAAAGGCAUACCUGCCAUGAUGAGAGCAUCCAGGAACUGGCAGUGGAAGGGAAGUUCCUCCACCUGACAAAGACAUCUGCGAAAGCCCCCAGUGAACAUAUGGGAUGAUGAAAGCCUGAAUGCUUUCCAUCUGUGAAGAAGAAGACAGACAUGUCCGCUGUCUCCAGGACUGGACAACGCUAUCCUGGAGGGUGCAGUCAGGGCAGAUCAGCAAGACGUAGAAACCCAAGACAUUCCUAUGAGGAAGGAAGGAGAAAAACACUCCCUCUGUGCAGAUGACAAGAUGCUUUAUGUAGAAAACCCUGAGGGAUACACACACAUACUGCUAAGAGCUAGUCAAUGAGUUCAGCAAGGUCCCAGGACACAAAAUCAAUACACAAAAAUCAGCUGUAUUUCUGGACACUAACAAUGAACACUCUAAAAAUGAAAUGAAGGAAACAAGUCCCUGUAGGAUAGUGUCAAUGAGAAUAAAAUAUGUAGGAAUAAAGUUCAUCAGAAAAGAGCAAGACUCUGACACUGAAAACUGUAAAACUGUUGAGGAAUAUUAUUCAGCCAUAAAAAGUAGUGAAGUACUGACAGAGGCUGCAAUGUAGGUGAAUGUCAAAAAUAUGAUGCUAUGUGAAGGGAACCAGACACAAAAGACCACAUAUUGUAUGAGCCCAUAUAAAUGGAUUAUCCAGAAUAGGCAAAUCCUUAGAGACAGAAAGUAGAUUGGUGUUGGCAGGGGGAGAAGAACAGGAGUGUACUUAAUGGAUAUGGGGUAUUCUUUUGGUGUAAUGACACCGUUUGGGGACUUAAUAUAGAUGGUGGUUACAUGACAUUAUGACUGUACUAAAUGCCACUGAAUUUACAUGUUAAGAUAGUUCAUCUCAUGUAAAUUUCACCUGAAUUUUUUUUAAUGUUGAAAAAAAUGUAGAGAAGACCUAAGUAAAUGGAAAGACAUCCUGUGUUUAUGGAUUAGAAGACAAUAUUGCCAAGAUGGUAACACUCCCUAAAGUGACCUAUGGAUUCAGUGCAGUCCCUUUCAGAAUCACAACUAUGUUUUUGCAGAAAUAACAAGUUGAUCCUGAAAUUCAUAUGGAAAUGCAAGGGGCCCAGAACAGCCAAAACGAUCUUGAAAAAGAAAUACAAAGUGAGAGGGCUCACACUUCUCAAUUCAAAAACUUACUGCAAAGCUACAGUCGUCAAGAAGCGUGGUACCAGCAUUAAAACAGACAUGGAGGGACUUCAUGGUGGUCUGGUGGUUAAGACUUUGUCUUCCAAUGCAGGGGGUGGGUGUGGGUUCAAUCCCUGGUCAGGGAGCUAAAAUCCCACAUGCUUCAAGGCCAAUAAACCAAAACAUAAAACAGAAACAGUAUUGUUACAAAUUCAAUAAAGACUUUUAAAAAAUGGUCCAUGUCAAAAAAAAAUCUUUAAAAAGAUAAAUUUAUAAAAACAGACAUGUAGAUCAAUGGAAUUUUAUUCUACUGAGAGUCCAGAAAUAAACGUAUAAAUCCACUGUCAAAUGGUUUUUGAUAGGGAUGCCAAGACUCUUGUGGGGAAAGAAUAAUCUUUUCAGCAGAUGGUGUUAGGACUUAGUGACGGAAAAAGAUAGAUGUAAAUCUUCAUCACCAUGGAUAGGGCAA